CGUGUAUUUUAUUACUUAAUUCUUAAGUUUUUCUAUUGUUGUUUUAACUUCUUAUUAACUUCUUGUCGAUAUCUAUAAAAUUAUAUUAGAUGCUGUGGGUGAUUCAAAAGAAAUGUGAGACAUGGCUCUGGGCUCAAGUGUUAUGUCAUUGACCAAUAAGUUGUAAGCUUCUUGAUGUUAGGAAUCAUAUUUGACGUUUCUUUUUUUUUUUUCCUUGUACAGUAUCAGAUGCGUGGUUGGUACUGCAGAAAUAAUUUUCCCUUGCCCACUGCUUUACACCAUUUGGUGACCAGUGGUGUCCAUCUAGGCACUUCUGUAAGAUUGGGACAAAACAUGCCGCUUUCUGAGGCAGAUGAUAUUCUGAAGGCAUCAGUAACAGUAAUUUCAGCUUGUUGAAGUUUUGGGUCCAGAUCAUCCGAUAAGAGGAAUCAAAAAAAUAUGUUAGAACUUGGAUGUGAAGUUGCACAAAUGUGUGAAGCAAAUUAAGGUGACAAGGAAGAAACAAGAAAAUGUUCAAAUUAAAUCUACCUUUCAAAGCAGGUCUAUUUAUAUUUCACUAUAUUUGCUAUUAUAAAUUUAUUUUCAUGUAUGUGUUUCUUUGCUAGAAAUGAUAAAUGGCUGCCAACCCAACUUCUGAUUCUUAGGCACCUCCAUUUUACCCACAAACCACUCAUUUUGAUUUGGUCAACACUGUGCACAAGCCCCUAAAGAAGUCCACCAUCCCAGAUCCCCAUCAACCUAUUAAACUACUGUUGCUUCUGCUGUGUCUUUGCCUCUUUCCAUACCCUUCGCUUUACACUUCAUCUCAGGUUCAGCCGUUAAAUCUUUUUACUUGAUGCUUGAGUUUGGCUUCCUGGCAUUUGACUCUAUGCUCAACCUGAUUAUCUUUGGUUUAGACUCACCUUCCAGUUCUAAGAUGCCAAGAUUUCUGUCCCUUGAUUCCAGCACAGCCACUGGCUGCCACCUCAGUGGACCAGCCCCAAACACUAGCUCCGUAUUAUAAACAUCCGUUUAUUCAUCUGUUCAACAGAUUUUAUUCAUCAUUACUAUGUGUAAGGCACUAGAGUAGUUUCUGGGUAAUACAGAAGAUUAAUUAGUGACAGAAAGCUCCUUAAAGCUCUUAAAAUCUGGUAGGACAAAUAAUACAAGUGUAUAAUGAUCAUUUAAGAUAGUAUGUGUUGAACUUACGAAGUAUGCAUACAAACGAGACAUUAAUUCAUGAAAGCUUCAAAUCGAUCCUUAGCCAGGGAGUUAAGGGGUAUGGAGUACAAGGGGACAUGACCAACAGUAACCUGAGAUGGUAGGUCAUGGAUUCAAAAAGAUUGAGAACACUGACAGCUGUUAACUAGACUUUGAAGGUAGGGUACGAAAGACACCAUGGUAGAAAG
rnacentral:lncRNA from 1 species